rnacentral:tRNA from 1 species
CUCGAGGUCGUCUAGUUGGUUUAUGGCGUUGGACUGUAACUGCAAUUUGCUAUCCAAAUGUCGGCGGUUCGAAUCCGCCUCUCGAGA